rnacentral:rRNA from 1 species
CGACCUGAGAACGAUGAAACAUCACGAACCCCGUGCCGCCCGUCUGGCCACAAACCAUUCGAAGCGACCGUGGCAACCUCGUCCGUAAACCUAACCCCGGCGCGGAAUGUGCCAAGGAACUGAAACCAAAGAGCGUCGCCGGUCGCCUCGGACACGAUGUGCGUGCCGGCGUCGACGUCUUGUAUUUAUCCAAAACGACUCUCGGCAACGGAUAUCUCGGCUCUCGCAUCGAAGAAGAACGUAGCAAAAUGCGAUACUUGGUGUGAAUUGCAGAAUCCCGUGAACCAUCGAGUCUUUGAACGCAAGUUGCGCCCCAAGCCUUCUGGCCGAGGGCAUGUCUGCCUGGGUGUCACAAAUCGUCGUCCCCCCAUCCGCUCGAGGAUAUGGGACGGAAGCUGAUCUCCCGUGUGUUACCGCACGCGGUUGGCCAAAAUCCGAGCUAAGGACGUCAGGAGCGUCUUGACAUGCGGUGGUGAAUUUAAUUCUCGUCAUAUAGUCAGACGUUCCGGUCCUAAAGCUCUUGAUGACCCAAAGUCCUCAACGCGACCCCAGGUCAGGCGGGAUCACCCGCUGAG